UACAGAGGGGGCAAGCGUUGUUCGGAAUUACUGGGCGUAAAGGGCGCGUAGGCGGCCUUCUAAGUCGAACGUGAAAUCCCCGGGCUCAACCCGGGAACUGCGUCCGAUACUGGGAGGCUUGAAUCCGGGAGAGGGAUGUGGAAUUCCAGGUGUAGCGGUGAAAUGCGUAGAUAUCUGGAGGAACACCGGUGGCGAAGGCGGCAUCCUGGACCGGUAUUGACGCUGAGGCGCGAAAGCCAGGGAGCAAAGCGGG
rnacentral:rRNA from 1 species